AUUGAACGCUGGCGGCAGGCUUAACACAUGCAAGUCGAGCGGAGAGAGGUAGCUUGCUACCGGUCUUAGCGGCGGACGGGUGAGUAAUGCUUAGGAAUCUGCCUAUUAAUGGGGGACAACAUCUCGAAAGGGAUGCUAAUACCGCAUAUGCCCUACGGGGGAAAGCAGGGGAUCACUUGUGGCCUUGCGUUAAUAGAUGAGCCUAAGUCGGAUUAGCUAGUUGGUGGGGUAAAGGCCUACCAAGGCGACGAUCUGUAGCGGGUCUGAGAGGAUGAUCCGCCACACAGGGACUGAGACACGGCCCAGACUCCUACGGGAGGCAGCAGUGGGGAAUAUUGGACAAUGGGGGGAACCCUGAUCCAGCCAUGCCGCGUGUGUGAAGAAGGCCUUAUGGUUGUAAAGCACUUUAAGCGAGGAGGAGGCUACUUUAGAUAAUACCUAGAGAUAGUGGACGUUACUCGCAGAAUAAGCACCGGCUAACUCUGUGCCAGCAGCCGCCGUAACAC
rnacentral:rRNA from 1 species